CUACGGGAGGCAGCAGUGGGGAAUUUUCCGCAAUGGGCGAAAGCCUGACGGAGCAAUACCGCGUGAGGGAAGACGGCCUAUGGGUUGUAAACCUCUUUUUUCAGGGAGGAAUUUUGACGUGUACCUGAAGAAUAAGCAUCGGCUAACUCCGUGCCAGCAGCCGCGGUAAGACGGAGGAUGCAAGUGUUAUCCGGAAUCACUGGGCGUAAAGCGUCUGUAGGUGGUUGAACAAGUCAACUGUCAAAUCUUGAGGCUCAACUUCAAAAUCGCAGUCGAAACUGUUUGACUAGAGUAUAGUAGGGGUAAAGGGAAUUUCCAGUGGAGCGGUGAAAUGCGUAGAUAUUGGAAAGAACACCGAUGGCGAAGGCACUUUACUGGGCUAUUACUGACACUCAGAGACGAAAGCUAGGGUAGCAAAUGGGAUUAGAUACCCCAGUAGUCCUAGCCGUAAACAAUGGAUACUAGAUGUUGAACAGAUCGACCUGUGCAGUAUCAAAGCUAACGCGUUAAGUAUCCCGCCUGGGAAGUAUGCUCGCAAGAGUGAAACUCAAAG
rnacentral:rRNA from 1 species